rfam:Virgibacillus necropolis strain LMG 19488 chromosome, complete genome.
UGAACCUUUAAAGAUAGUCCCGUGAGGCUAAAAAGGAAUCGGAUGAAGAUGUAUAGAUAUAAGUCUAUACACAAUCAAAUCCCUUUUUUCCUCAUGGAGAAAUGGGAUUUUUUAA